UGUAUGUUUUCAAUGAGAUGCUGCUGCUCUGUGCACAAUACGGAAGACACAGUGUGUGGUAGUAUUAUUUUUAGAGGGCCUGAUGUUUGGCAGUAUAAUAUACAGGGUACACAGGGUUUGGCAGUAUUAUAUUUAGGAAGCACAGUCUCUUGAAGGGUUAUAAUGAUUGUUGUCUUUAUACAGAGGAUGAGGAUCGGCUGGCAAAGUGAGGAACCAAUGAUGUCCAGGCGUCGAACUUAACAGAGAAAGAUGGAGCUGAAAGAAGACCUGGCGUCUGGACCAGAUGAAGAAGAAAAGGAAAGACAACAGAGAAGACGUCUCCUGAUGGGGGAUAUGUUUCUAGUUGUGGGGGUUUGACGGCUGGGACCCCCGCGAUCUUUUGCAGUGUCCCGAUGUUCUGAAGAUUUGGUUUACAUGCCUCCUCUAUGCACUGUCUAUGGGAGAGCUGGAUAUACACGAGCUCUGUGUGAUGGUCAGAACCACUCUAUGCACAUAGCGGUGGUCGCUCCGUGUAUAAGGAGACCCAGGGCGCUGGGCAGGAGAUCAAGAGGUGCAGAAGGUGGAGUAGUUCUGACAUGGUAUAUAUUAUGCUUGCAGCAAGGGCAACUCUAAAACUGAAAGUAUAUCUGAGAAUAGCUGAUAAUGACUUUCCUUGCCAGUCCUUCCACUAAGCAUCAUCAUUCUGGAGUAGCUCCAGUUAAUAUGGCCAGAUAUACCAUGGCGAUAGCAGCUAAAUGUGCCUGAAACAGGACCUCCAUUUGUGCUGAUCUUGAGCUGAGAAGGAUGGAUUUUGUUUACAUAUUUCUUCUCCAAUAACUAAGGAAUAUGUAUAGUUGCGGAGAGGGACCUUGCAUCUGUGGCUCAUUCUCCACUCACAGCUGUGACAUGGACUCAGUGGAGGUGUCAAAAGCUAGACCACAGGCCGUGCCACCAGAGAAGACAACACUGGAUCUCUAGCCCUUUUUGACACCAGUGAUGUCUCCCCACGAGCUCUUUCAGCCAAAUUCCAAUUGUA